rnacentral:rRNA from 1 species
AUCGAACGCUGGCGGCAGGCCUAACACAUGCAAGUCGAGCGAGCGGCGGACGGGUGAGUAAUGUAUGGGGAUCUGCCUGAUCGAGGGGGAUAACUACUGUAACCGUUGGCUAAUACCGCAUACUAUCGUAUGAGCCCAUGUGGGAUUAGCUAGUGGGUGGGGUAAAGGGUAACCAAGGCGACGAUCGCUAGCUGGUCUGAGAGGGUGAGCAGCCACACUGGGACUGAGACACGGCCCAGACUCCUACGGGAGGCAGCAGUGGGGAAUAUUGGGCAAUGGGCGCAAGCCUGAUGCAGCCAUGCCGCGUGUAUGAAGAAGGCCUUAGGGUUGUAAAGUACUGUCAGCGGGGAGGCGUUACCCGCAGAAGAAGCACCGGCUAACUACGUGCCAGCAGCCGCGGUAAUAC